CACGAUUAGCCGGUGCUUAUUCUACAGUACCGUCAACACCCUACACGUAAGGUGGAUUAUUCCUGUAUAAAAGCACUUUACAACCCAUAGGGCCGUCUUCCUGCGCUCGGGAUGGCUGGAUCAGGCUCUCACCCAUUGUCCAAUAUUCCUCACUGCUGCCUCCCGUAGG
rnacentral:rRNA from 1 species